rnacentral:lncRNA from 1 species
GCCUGGGGAAGACCUAUGGAGGAAAGAAAUGGAAGUUAACCAUGCAGCAGCCAUUCACACUCAGGUCCUCAGGGAGCCCCAUGUUGUCAAAUCCAGGAGAGACAGUCCCAUCAUUAUUUCAAACCACCAUUCAGUACUGCUGACCCAGUGGGCCACUCCAGCCUUCUCACCACCCCUCCUCCCUUGAUCCUGUCAACACCACCUGCCUACCUCCCUGGCCACACACCUUCCUGGUCUCCGCCUUUUUCUCCUCCCUUUGGCGUGCUCCACCACUUGCUGGGCUGUCUCCUCCCCUCCCAAGGUGUCAACUGCCACCCUUGAAGCAGGGAUCUCCACUUGUUCCUGCCUCUCCUUUAUACUGGCCUGCACACCCACUAACUCCCAACUGGCCCUCAGGAGGCCCACUCUCAACAUGGCGAGAAGAGACUGCCCUCGCCCAGCUGUCCCCAGGAGGGCUGGCCAGGUGGCUGCCACCUGCAUACUGAGGUCGGUGCCCAGCUUCCAUUGGCUCACCAUGAGCCCCAUGUAAAGCUAGUUUACGCUCAUGAUUUCAGCUCUAUUCUGUCUGCAUAUAACGUGGAAAUCUCUUGAGCCCUAAUCACUCUCUCAAACCUCAAUCACAAACCUUAAAAUACCUCCCUCCUGGAAAUUUUGACUUCAAUGCCUACGAAUAAACUCGUCAAAUGAG